GUAGUCGUGGCUGAGAGGUUAAGGCGAUGGACUUGAAAUCCGUUGGGGUAUCUCCGCGCUGGUUCGAACCCUGCCGAUUAUG
rfam:Danio rerio chromosome 20, GRCz11 reference primary assembly.